UCGCACACUGUUCUUCUUGGAAACCCGAGAAAUGGUUACUGAGAUUUUAUCCGUGCGUACAUUAAAACCAUUUCCAACUUGCAAGAUUCAGUAUGGAACUUUCGAGCCAUCUCCUGUUACCAUGGAGCUGUGUUCCAAUGUUGUUGGAUUACAUCC